CUAUUAAAAAAUAAAUACCAUUCUUGCCAAAAUUCAGAAUUACAUUCCUCCUUACUUCAUUGUUUGAAUACAAAUGGUUUUCAUGUAGCAUUAGAGACUUCAGUAGGUGAACAUCUAUAUGCUUAUAUAAACUUGAAAAGGUAUAUAAAUGUUUAUUCCAGCUAUGUUUCUAAGUAGAUUUUUCAAGGCAAGAAAACUGGAUAGAAUCGUAUCCUAGACAGAAUUCACAAUGGAGAAAAGUUUGUUUCAAACUCAGCUCUUUAAUUAAAUUGUCCAAACAAAUGGCAACUCAAAAACCAGUCAUUACAAUAACUACAGCAGGGAGAAAGUGUUCUGUUGCCUAGAGAUUAUUUCAAAUGUUGAUUCCUCAGGAAGAUUACUCUGUGAUACAUUUAAUAUACUCUCAAAUAUAAAAUUUGGUUAAAAUUUUGCUUAUCUCAUUGAAAGAUUAUUCAUCUGUUUUCCCUUUGCUCAGAAGUAAUACUUUACUGGGCUGACUUAGAUCCCAUUUUUGCAAGUUGUUAUGUAGGUGGGAAAUACUUGCUCAGGUAAGCAAUGUUUUUUGAUUUAAAUGGAAAUAGCUUGCUUGGGUAAAUGACUGCAUGGUUAGACCAAUUGCUUCUCGAUUUCCUUAGUCUUUUAUUCUGUCUGCAAAUUGUCAACAUGCAUCUGUUAACUCUGAGAUGAUUAUAGAAAGAAAAAAGUUUCAUUCUUCAAACUUGCUGACACAGAUUUUUUCUGAUAGGCCAUCCUCUGGUUCAAUGCAAUUUCCAAAUUUAUGAAAAUUCAGUAUCAAAUGCUAAGGGUCUAAGUCUUUACUGAAAGGAAAAGAAAAAUUUGUAAGUCUCUGAUAAUGGCUUAACAAAUGUGAGAAGGACUUUCUUUUACUUAAUCUGUGCACCUUGAAUUUAAAAUAUUUUCAGUUUUCCCUCCUGUCCUCUUAGUCUUUCUGGAUUGUUUUAGGUGAUCAGACUUUGCUAGGGCUACAUAAGUAGUGAUGACAUCAGAAAAUGCUUCAAAGAUAACCCUAAGCCCUAUAGAACACGUUGAUGUGAGCAGGAAUAAGAUGGCCUGGUUAAAUAGGUAAAAUUAUUGGGGAAAGGAUCUCCUGAAAAAUAGUGACAGUGGGAUGUCAAGAUGACAGCUUGAAAGAUGGGGCCUGGAAGUAGCUCUGUGAAUCAGAAACUUCUUUGAAAAGAAUAUCUGGAAACUGUGUGAAAGACAACUGUGGGAAUCUGGAUGCCAAAGGCACCCAGAGAUACCACCAAGAGGUGCAUAAACAAGGAACUGCAACAACAAUUCAUCUUCUGAGCAAGUGGCAAAUAGUCUGGAAAAAUCAAAUUGCUCUGAAAUAAAAGGAAACAUAAUCAUCUGUUGGCUCUUACAGGUGAAAAAUCAGAAAUUAGCAGCAUCUAUUGACUGCUCAAAGUGGUGCAUCCUACUCCCUCUUGUGUUAUAGAAAAGACUCCAUUUUUAUCUCAAAUGGAGCCUCUUUUUUGGAGAACAUCCCAUGCUGUACAUAACCUUUCCUAAACAGGAUGAAUUCUCCUCAGGGGCUUUCUGGGAGAGUUUGGACUCUACCCAGACUUUGUGACAUGGACCACCUCAGAAGGGAGGUGGUGAUCUCUAUACACCCCCAGACUGGAUUACAUUUUAAGUCCUGAAAUCUGUGCCUGUCAGAUGCAAAUUAGUGAUUUUUUUCUUUCUAAAACCAAGUAUAUUUAAAGGAAUAAGAGGUCUUUGUGUGUGUGUGUGUGAAGAAAAAUCUUAAAAAUGUGAUGAAUUUAUUUUCUCCAUUAGCAAGCUGUUUCCUUCUGUUGCUUUUAAAAUACAUAAAAGAAAGUACAGGAAGUUCGUUAAUAGCAUUAUAUGACUUCAACUUAUAAAGAUAUAAGAUAUAUUCUAGAUGUAAUUUUGUAGUAUUGGGAAUGAAACUAGUGGUGAAACAUUUAGCAAACACUACUUUUCAGAACUUGUUCUUGGGAGAUUAAUUUUCUUUUCCAUUACACUUGAACUGUGUCCUAUUCUAAUAUUUUCAAAGCUAAUGAUUUCUUUAACCUAUGAGAGGAAACCAGUAGUAACUGUAAACCUACUUUUGUGACUAUUUUCCCUUCCCUUUAAUUGAUUUAUUCUAAUCUCCAUUUUUAUGCAAAGAAAAACUGAAAUUACCUGUAAGUCUCCAUCAAUAUCCAUGUUAGUAUUAAUACGUUUUUUUCAGUCUAGAACUGAAAUACCCACUGUGACUGCAACCUGCUUAGUCUACUUAAUUUUGAUUUGCUUCACUUUCUGCUUUUUCCUUUUUUUCAGGCUUCUGUGGACACAUCUUCAGCUAGAACCUUCUUAUAAUAAUUUCCAAAUUUUUAUUUUAGGUAAAUAACUGGGGAACCAUAAGUAAUGUCAACUAUGACUCUGAUUUGAUGAGGAGAGUGUAUUUUGCUAGAAACUUCUGAGUGAUGUUUUCAGAUACUAAUGAAAAUCAGAACAAGGAUGCCUCUUUCCUUGUAUGUAAUGAGGCGCUACCUUAUCACCAGCCCUGUCAUGCAGAUGUAAGUCAUGGAAUCAUUCUUUCUUCCAUCUAUAAGGGAAUGGACCAGCCAGCUCUCUAUCCAUAGAAUCACAUCAAUCUGAACAUCUGAGCUGACAAGGAAGAGGUCAAGAAGCACUGGGAUUCAUAAUGGUGCGAACUGGAAGCGGCUUUUGUAUACUGGGAUAAAAUUAUAGCUUGUGGGUAGUCUUUUCAGAGUUUUUCAAAUCCUGUGGGCUCUGGGUUGCUGCCAGCUGUUCCAGAAACAAUAUCCCAUUCCACACGUUCUUAGAACAAGGUGUUAGUUCACAGCACCAGUGAUUGUAGUGGGCAAAUUAGACAUUGCAUCCAUGGAAUUGUUCCUAAAAAAGAAAUGUACCUGAGCAAAGAGGCAUUUAUGUCAACACUACACCUGUUUGGGGAACAAUGGCCUAGGAAAAAACAUUUCUGAAAUGAAACCCUGCAUGGCAGAAAUAGGAAAGGUUCAAUCAGGUCCUCAAAUUCCAGUGCUGAAUUUUUGAAAACUGAAGACUGAUCUGAGCUUGCAGACACGCACACGGCUGCAUCUGUGCACACAAAUCUGGUAUUUAUAUAAGACAUCAUUCCAUAUGUGCAUGUCUUUAGGAGGCAGAAGUCAGUCUGCAAGAAUAUAUUCCUUAAAACCAUUUUACAAUAUAUAUAUUCAAUGUAUUCAAUAUAUUCCAUUCCAACCAUUUACAAUAUAUGUAUUCAAUAUAUAUGUAUACAAUAUAUUCCAGCUUCUUGGAAAGAAUGAUGAUUUCCAAUAUUUUUUUAAGCUAAACAUUUGCUUAAGAUCCUUUGCUAAAACGGUCUUUAAAAAAUUUUGUAUUGAGAUUGUCACUGUGACUAGAUUCUGAUUUAACUCCAAAACCAGACUGCAAAGUAAUAGUUUGAGAAGAUGAACUUUGUAAUCUGACAAUGCAGAAAAGAAAAAAAGAAAUUAUACUGUCACUUCUAAAAUGGAAAAUUGUAAUUGUUUCACUGUGUUUAUUACAAAUAUAUGUUUAAUGGCAUGCCUGGAUUCAUGACAGUUUUCAGAUAUCUUUGCUGUCAUCAUGUCUUGUAAUGGCCAGAAUAUUUCCUGCCAUAUUGUAUCUUUAAUUUCAAUGGCAAUCACUGCUGACUGUGCUUCCUUUUCUUUCCAGAAAAUUAUGUCUGCAAAGUACUGUGAGUUUUACACUUGAUUAAAAAGGCAGGGGCUUUCUGUACUAUCAUCAUAAUUAGCCAGAUGACCAGAAAUGGCUCCCAGUAGGGGUUGAAGAGUUGUUCCAGUUCAGUCCUUGGAGCUUUUCAGUUUAAUUUUAGCUAUAAGCUAUAUAAAUAUAAGCUAUAAAAUAUUUUUUUAGGUAGGAACUCUUGCUGGUGUAUCUUAACAUCUCUUUAAGAGAUUAGGCUAUGGUUUUUGAGCUCAUCAUUGGCCUGUGUAAAUAUUUCUGGGCUCCUUUUGGGUCUUAGUCAUGCAUCCUAUCUGGAAAAGCCAGUGCUGGAAACCAGAGGAAGAUGAUAUUUCUGUCUGAAUCUCUUAUAUGAGGAUAAAGUUUUCUGUCUUUUAUCAGUUCAUACUAUUUUUUAUGUAAUACUCAAUUUAUGAGAAAUGCUUUUAAUAUUUCUGAAAAACAGACAUAGAAAUUGCAAUUGCUAUACAUUCUACCUAUUCAAAUUUCUGUUCCCAUUGUAUCCAAGCUGAUCCAGCUAAAUAAAAAAUCGGUAAGAUCCAAUACUCUGAACUUCUUUUUUUGCCUGAGUAUGCUAACAGCAGAAAUGACUGCCUUUUGUAUCAUAAUGGCUCUUGUAGCUCGGUUGGUAAAGAACAUGUGUGAGCAUGGCCAUGUAAACGUGACUUGUUAUUUAACUCUUGAACUAAAAUGCCAUCAACAGCUACAGAGGUUGCACCAGGUGAAACAGCAAAGCAGAGCACCAGGUAGGACAUGAUCCAUGGCAUGUGUCUUACAUGACAACAGGGAUCUACAUCCAGGAGGCUUUUUGAGAAAGCAAAUUGCUGGUGGAAUGUGCUGUCUUGUGCUAUUGCCAACCCUCCUCUUUCCUCAAUAUAGUAAUAAAUGCUUGGGUUUUUUUUCAGGCAGGGCUGUGCUGGCUGUGCUCCUGUUAAUGCUGCUUAGGGUGCUGGAGGCCUUUUUGGCUGCCAGGGCAUGCUGCUGGCUCAUGCUGAGCUUGCUGCUUACCAAUUCCCUGACGUCCCUUUUUCUAUCCUUUUUUAGCUUUUUAGGUGCCAUGAUUUAGAGUAAAUUCUGUCCAAAACAUUUAAAGGAGCAUAAGGCUGUGCUGUUAAAAGGAAUCAG